rnacentral:rRNA from 1 species
GACCAGACUCCUACGGGAGGCAGCAGUGGGGAAUAUUGCACAAUGGGGGGAACCCUGAUGCAGCGACGCCGCGUGAGUGAAGAAGUAUCUCGGUACGUAAAGCUCUAUCAGCAGGGAAGAAAAUAACGGUACCUGACUAAGAAGCCCCGGCUAACUACGUGCCAGCAGCCGCGGUAAUACGUAGGGGGCAAGCGUUAUCCGGAUUUACUGGGUGUAAAGGGAGCGUAGACGGCACUGCAAGUCCGGAGUGAAAGCCCAAGGCUUAACCAUGGGACUGCUCUGGAAACUGUGGAGCUUGAGUGCGGGAGGGGCAGGCGGAAUUCCUAGUGUAGCGGUGAAAUCCGUAGAUAUCUGGAGGAACAUCAGUGGCGAAGGCGACUAUCUGGCACAUAACUGACGCUGAGGAGCGAAAGCGUGGGUAGCAAACAGGAUUAGAUACCCUGGUAU